rnacentral:rRNA from 1 species
UACGUAGGUCCCGAGCGUUGUCCGGAUUUAUUGGGCGUAAAGCGAGCGCAGGUGGUUUAUUAAGUCUGGUGUAAAAGGCAGUGGCUCAACCAUUGUAUGCAUUGGAAACUGGUAGACUUGAGUGCAGGAGAGGAGAGUGGAAUUCCAUGUGUAGCGGUGAAAUGCGUAGAUAUAUGGAGGAACACUGGUGGCGAAAGCGGCUCUCUGGCCUGUAACUGACACUGAGGCUCGAAAGCGUGGGGAGCAAACAGG